AUUAAUACCCGAAAAAUUAAUUAAAAAAAUUAAUUCACGAGACAAAUAUUUUCUAAAGAUUUUUCCCAUAAAAAAAUAAAAAUUACCCUAAACAUUUCCCAAGAAUUUAACCCGCUUAAGUUCUUAACCUAUACUCAAUCUCUCGGGCCUCACUUAAUCUUGCGGUUCUCACAAUCUCACAUAACCCCCAGUCAUCAUCUCCCCCCCAAUAAUUUUCCUCUCGUAAGUCAUCAUCUAACAACCAUUUUCUUCCCCUAAAACCUCUCGUAAUCUUCAGUUCUCGCAAGUCACCAUCAGUCAUCCUCUCUCAAGAUCAAUUCGAGCAGUACGUUCAUCAUCUCCAGCAAUUCAUCAUCUGCUGGUUUUCUGCGCAAAGCGAACACAACAAACAAGAAAGUAAACAGGAGAAUCGCAUUGUGUCACCUGCCAAAGGAGAAGAGUUACAUUCUGAAACAGCUCAAACUGAAGAUGAUCGUGAUAUACAAAAGGAAAAUCAAGGAUCGGAUAACUUUGAAUAUCAAUAUGAUGUGAAACUAAAAACUUGGAUGCAGACCACUGAUUUAGGCAAUAAUCACGAAGGGAGAAGUAGAAAAUCGGUGUGCAUAUCCUUAAUUUAAGUGAUGAUGAGAGAGUGAAGAAGAGAAUCAGAAGGUAUGCACCUGUAGAAGCCGAACAAAAUGAAUGGUAUUGUAUGGGUCCACUUGGAGACAUCAGGGGACCCUAUAAAAUGUCAAUGCUCAAGCAAUAGAAUGAAUUAGCUGCUCCAUUUGCUAACAAGUUCAAAGUUUGGAAGAUAGGGCAGUGUGAAAACGACAGACUCCCGUUGCCAGAUGCUUGUCACUUAGUAUCCACAAGUAAGUAAUUGUAUCUUCCCAAUAUGUACAGAGAAAGUAGAUAAUUGUUCUUGCUGGCUUAACUACUUGAUGCAAGUUUUUGCUCUAACUCUAAUUUGUUGACCAUUCAAAAUCCAGAACAUUACAACGUAGGUAAGAAGAAGUCGCCAUUCCUUUAAAUACCUAAUUUAUCUAAUGAGCUUACUACUCACAUAAGGUUAUUUUGGAUUCGCCUAUUUUUUCCGAGAUUGUGACUUGUGUGUUCCUUUAGUUACUUUCCUGCGAUCAAAUCAUGUAAAAUCUCUUCAAUCAAGUGAAAACAGGUCUAGAGAUCCCAAAUGAAGUCUCUCUAGUGGCUUUGAGGACGCCUUCCACCAUAUACAUGAGAUUUCUCAAAAGCGAAGGGGCAUAUCUGUACAUGUUGGCAUAUAUGUACUUGUUGGCAUAUCUGUACCUGUUAGCAUAUCUGUACCUGUUGGCAUAGUUGUACCUGUUGGCAUACCAGCCUAUUACUACUCUUUUACACAAGGAGUAUCUGUUGGAAGACGUGUUUUCUUUCUUUCUUCAAGUAGAAGCAGUUAGCAUUUGCCUGCUUUCUUUCUUUCUUCAAGCAGAAGUAGUUAGCAUUAUCCUGAUUUCUUUCUUUCUUCAAGUAGUUAGCACUAGCUUGCUUUCUCUCUUUCUUCAAGCACAAGCAGUUUGCACUAGCCCUUCUUUUAGAAGUAGCAGCAAUUGGCAGAAUAUGGAGUACAUGUAUCAAAUAGUUUUACCCGGAUUACAAAGUAUUAGUAAUAUGGAAGAGGUACGUGUAUGUGUAUUUAUGUUAUUAUAGAUUUAUCUCAUUUUUUACUAAAUAUGCGCUAGGUUUUAUCCAAACUUUACUAAUUAAUACAUAAUUUUGUUGAAGUACAGAUAUUUUCUCCAAAUCCGUACACUCAAGAGGAGAUCGACGAUGUUCGAGAAAAACGGCGUAGAUAUUUUAUUAGUAGUUGUUUGUAGUCAUUUUCUAUUUUUUAGAGAUAGAUAUUAAACUAUAAUAAAUUGUAGGUUAUUUUUUGGGAUACAAUUUUUUGUACUUGUUGAACCAACUUUCUUGUUUGAAUUAAUACAAUUUUGUUUUUGCAAUUCUGCAAAUCUCA